GGGUAGCGGGCUACUCGGUGCUACCCAUCAUAACCCGCCACAACAUGAUAGUUGCCAUUAGGAGAGUCGACGGCAAGAUCCUGAAUAACACCCUUGAAAGUUUAUUUGUUUUGUUAUGUAAGCUGGAUUGUACUGCUUCUUAACCUUGUUGUGUGAUAUAUUUAAUGAGUCUAUGUUGUAAAUUAUCACUACAUGAUGUGUAAACUGAUAUGUUGUAUAUACAUACAAAUU
rnacentral:lncRNA from 1 species